rnacentral:rRNA from 1 species
CCUACGGGUGGCUGCAGUAAGGAAUAUUGGUCAAUGGACGCAAGUCUGAACCAGCCAUGCCGCGUGGAGGAUGAAGGUCCUCUGGAUUGUAAACUUCUUUUAUCUGGGACGAAACACUCCUUUUCUAAGGGGCCUGACGGUACCAGAUGAAUAAGCACCGGCUAACUCCGUGCCAGCAGCCGCGGUAAUACGGAGGGUGCAAGCGUUAUCCGGAUUCACUGGGUUUAAAGGGUGCGUAGGUGGGUAUGUAAGUCAGUGGUGAAAUCCCCGAGCUU